UAUCAUAUUGAAACACCGGUUCUCACAAGAUCACCAAAGUUAAGCAACGUUGAGGUUGAGCCUGUUUAGUACCUAUAUAGGUGACUGCUUGGGAAUACCAGGUGCUGCAGGC